UGUUUUCGACGCGCGGCGCGUCGCGGAGCGUCGUCGCGCUGCAGGGCGCGCGCGAGAUCCACGCCGACGCCCGGCGUCGCGACGCCACUCUCGCACGCAACGCCGUCGCCGGCCGUCGUCGUCGUCACCGUCUCCACCCGUCUCCUUUCCCUAUCUGCCGAGCGUUCCGCGCGGAUUUCUCACGCCGCCGGGGCUUCGGCGCCCGGCGACGAAGGACGACGCGGGCGCGGCAAGUGUAUAUCUCUCUCUCCUCUUUGCGGCGUACGGGACGCCCGACAUCGCGGUGUAAUCAGACACCGGCACCGGGGCAAGGAUGGCGGGCGGUCGGGGCGGCUAGGGGGGCAGCAGGCGGAGAGACGUAAACGUAAUUGGAAACAUCCGAGAGGGAGAUUUGCCACGCUUCUGAUGCGCGCCGCGCGGCUCGCCUGCUCCCAUUCUCCUCCCUUCCGGGCACUUCGACGCGUCGCGUCUCCGUUUUUCCUCACUCGCGGAUCUAUCGACUCUCCCUCGCGCAUAGGGAUGACGCGAUGGUCCACCACCGUCGAAUCCACCCAUUGGUCCCGAGAUAAAACGAGAUACCCACGGGAUCAGGGACGCGCGGAGGAGCACAAAGUGUCGAUAUUUUGUAUCGAUACGAAUCGAAGUCUUGCUACUUCACUUUUCCUUGCGAAAACUAAUCGUCGAAAACUUAAUCCAUUUCUACGUCGAGAAUAACCCCAGCGUCGCGCGCGUUGUUACUUUUCAAGACAUUUGUAGCAGCGAUAAUAAAGAUCUCGUAAUCUUCG